UUAUGCCUCCAAGCACUGAUGCCGCAUGUGAUGACGUACAUCUUCGUACCACCACAUGCAACGUCAGUGCUUAGAGGCAUAA
rnacentral:pre_miRNA from 1 species